ACGCACCUUGCGCCCCUUGGUAUUCCGAGGGGCACACCCGUUUGAGUGUCGUGAAAUUCUCAACUCAAAUACUUUUGCGAGUGUUUGGGCUUGGACUUGGGGGUCUGCCGGCCUGUCCCGGCUCCCCUCGAAUGCAUUAGCUCGGACCCUUGCGGAUCAGCUAUCGGUGUGAUAAUUGUCUACGCCGUGGUUUGUGAUGCCACCUUUCAGGUGUUGAGGGAUCGGCUUCUAACCGUCCCCCCCGGGACAAUUAACUUUGAAAUCUGACCUCAAAUCGGGUGGGACUACCCGCUGAACUUAAGCAUAUCAAUAAGCGGAGGAAAAGAAACUAACAAGGAUUCCCCUAGUAACUGCGAGUGAAGCGGGAAAAGCUCAAAUUUAAAAUCUGGCGGUCUUUGGCCGUCCGAGUUGUAGUCUGGAGAAGCGUUUUCCGUGC
rnacentral:rRNA from 1 species